CGCGUAGGCGGUCGGGUCAGUCGGAUGUGAAAGCCCUGGGCUUAACCUAGGAAUUGCAUUCGAUACUGCUCGACUAGAGUAUGGGAGAGGGAAGUGGAAUUUCCGGUGUAGCGGUGAAAUGCGUAGAUAUCGGAAGGAACACCAGUGGCGAAGGCGACUUCCUGGCCCAAUACUGACGCUCAGGUGCGAAAGCGUGGGUAGCAAACAGGAUUAGAUACCCUGGUAGUCC
rnacentral:rRNA from 1 species